CCUGAGCUAACAUCCGUGCCCAUCUUCCUCUGCUUUAUAUAUGGGAUGCCUGCCACAGCAUGGCUUGCCAAGUGGUGUUUAGGUUCGCAUCCAGGAUCCAACCUGCGAACCCUAGGCUGCCAAAGUGGAAGGUGUGAACUUAACUGCGCCACCAGGCGGGCCCAGUAAUCACGUUUUUAUCUGAAGCAGACUCUCCCUUCCUGGCUUUGAUGAAGCGAGUUGCCAUGUUGGAGAGGCCAACAUUACAAGUAAAUGAGGGUCGCCUCUGGACAACAGCCGGCAAGGAGCUGAGGCCUGUAGUCCAACGAUGCAUGAGGAACUGAAAUUCUGCCAACAGCUACAUGAGCUUAGAAGCAGAUUCUUCCCCAUCAAGUCUUCAGAUGAGACCCGAGCACUGGAUAACACUUUGAGAGAGACCUUGAAACAGAGGACCCAGCUAAGCCCUGCCCAGAUUCCUAGCUCACAGAAACCGUGAGAUAAUAAAUAUGGGCCCCAGCUCAUGGCAGAAAGGCUUGUCCUGACAGCGACACACGAGACUUUGGGUCUCCUGCCCAGGAAUGUUGGUUCCUAAGACAGAAGAGUCUUUGUGAAGAAGGAGGAAAAGGAGCCCUGGAAUCUCCUGUUGGCUCUCGCCUGGGGAAGGACGGAUGCCUGGGACUGAGGGGAGGGGAGGACCAGACUGGUGCCCCUGAGGUAGUGUGAGAGGCUCUAUAGCUUUCUGAGGCUUCUGGGGACAAGGGGCUGGUGCAUACAGGGCCUUUUCCCUCCAUGCUGUCUUGAGCAGACCCUGCAGGAUCUGGUACUUAUUGGUUCUACCCCCUGCCUUCUCCAUAGAAUUUGGGAGGUGCUUAAGGGCCCCGAGAAAGUUUAAGCUACUGCAUAGAUGUGGAACAGAUACCAGUAGAAGGAGAGAAAGAUUUCCUCC